AGCGGGAUGGAACAGCCAGGAGUGUUCGUCGGGCUCAUAACCCGGAGGUCGAAGGUUCAAAUCCUUCUCCCGCUA
rnacentral:tRNA from 1 species